rnacentral:rRNA from 1 species
UAUUUACAGGCUUAACACAUGCAAGUCGAGGGGCAGCAUGGUCUUAGCUUGCUAAGGCCGAUGGCGACCGGCGCACGGGUGAGUAACGCGUAUCCAACCUGCCUUACACUCUUGGACAGCCUUCUGAAAGGGAGAUUAAUACAAGAUGUUAUCAUGAGUAAGCAUUUUCGCAUGAUUAAAGGUUUACCGGUGUAAGAUGGGGAUGCGUUCCAUUAGAUAGUAGGCGGGGUAACGGCCCACCUAGUCUUCGAUGGAUAGGGGUUCUGAGAGGAAGGUCCCCCACAUUGGAACUGAGACACGGUCCAAACUCCUACGGGAGGCAGCAGUGAGGAAUAUUGGUCAAUGGACGAGAGUCUGAACCAGCCAAGUAGCGUGAAGGAUGAAGGUUCUAUGGAUUGUAAACUUCUUUUAUACGGGAAUAAACGGAUCCACGUGUGGAUUUUUGCAUGUACCGUAUGAAUAAGGAUCGGCUAACUCCGUGCCAGCAGCCGCGGUAAUACGGAGGAUCCGAGCGUUAUCCGGAUUUAUUGGGUUUAAAGGGAGCGUAGAUGGGUUGUUAAGUCAGUUGUGAAAGUUUGCGGCUCAACCGUAAAAUUGCAAUUGAUACUGGCAGUCUUGAGUACAGUUGAGGUAGGCGGAAUUCGUGGUGUAGCGGUGAAAUGCUUAGAUAUCACGAAGAACUCCGAUUGCGAAGGCAGCUUACUAACCUGUAACUGACAUUGAUGCCCGAAAGUGUGGGUAUCAAACAGGAUUAGAUACCCUGGUAGUCCACACGGUAAACGAUGAAUACUCGCUGUAGGCGAUAUACAGUCUGCGGCCAAGCGAAAGCAUUAAGUAUUCCACCUGGGGAGUACGCCGGCAACGGUGAAACUCAAAGGAAUUGACGGGGGCCCGCACAAGCGGAGGAACAUGUGGUUUAAUUCGAUGAUACGCGAGGAACCUUACCCGGGCUUAAAUUGCAACCGAAUAUGGCGGAAACGCUAUAGCUAGCAAUAGCGGUUGUGAAGGUGCUGCAUGGUUGUCGUCAGCUCGUGCCGUGAGGUGUCGGCUUAAGUGCCAUAACGAGCGCAACCCUUGCCGAUAGUUACUAACAGGUUAUGCUGAGGACUCUGUCGGGACUGCCAUCGUAAGAUGUGAGGAAGGUGGGGAUGACGUCAAAUCAGCACGGCCCUUACGUCCGGGGCUACACACGUGUUACAAUGGGGGGUACAGAGGGCUGCUACCACGCAAGUGGAUGCCAAUCCCAAAAACCUCUCUCAGUUCGGAUUGAAGUCUGCAACCCGACUUCAUGAAGCUGGAUUCGCUAGUAAUCGCGCAUCAGCCACGGCGCGGUGAAUACGUUCCCGGGCCUUGUACACACCGCCCGUCAAGCCAUGGGAGCCGGAGGUACCUGAAGUGCGUAACCGCAAGGAGCGCCCUAGGGUAAAACUGGUGACUGGGGC